ACGCUGGCGGCACGCCUAAUACAUGCAAGUCGAACGCAGUAGCAAUACUGAGUGGCAGACGGGUGAGUAUAAUGUGGGAAUAUGCCUUUUGGUUUGGAAUAACUCGGGGAAACUUGAGCUAAUACUGAAUAAGCCCUUACGGGGAAAGAUUUAUCGCCGAAAGAUUAGCCCGCACUUGAUUAGCUUGUUGGUGAGGUAAAAGCUCACCAAGGCAACGAUCAAUAGCUGUUCUUAGAGGAAGACCAGCCACAUUGGGACUGAGACACGGCCCAGACUCCUACGGGAGGCAGCAGUAGGGAAUCUUGCACAAUGGGGGAAACCCUGAUGCAGCGAUGCCGCGUGAGUGAAGAAGGCCUUUGGGUUGUAAAACUCUUUCGUCGGGGAAGAAAAUGACUGUACCCGAAUAAGAAGGUCCGGCUAACUUCGUGCCAGCAGCCGCGGUAAUACGAAGGGAUCUAGCGUAGUUCGGAAUUACUGGGCUUAAAGAGCUCGUAGGUGGUUAAAAAAGUUGGUGGUGAAAUCCCAAGGCUCAACCUUGGAACUGCCAUCAAAACUUUUUAGCUAGAGUGUGAUAGAGGAAAGUGGAAUUUCUAGUGUAGAGGUGAAAUUCGUAGAUAUUAGAAAGAACACCAAAAGCGAAGGCAACUUUCUGGAUCACUACUGACACUGAGGAGCGAAAGCAUGGGUAGCGAAGAGGAUUAGAUACCCUCGUAGUCCAUGCUGUAAACGAUGUGUGCUAGACGUUGGAAAUUUAUUUUCAGUGUCGCAGCAAAAGCAUUAAGCACACCGCCUGGGGAGUACGACCGC
rnacentral:rRNA from 1 species